UACGUAGGGUGCAAGCGUUGUCCGGAAUUAUUGGGCGUAAAGAGCUCGUAGGCGGUCUGUCGCGUCGAAUGUGAAAAUCCGAGGCUCAACCUCGGACCUGCAUUCGAUACGGGCAGACUAGAGUUCGGUAGGGGAGAUUGGAAUUCCUGGUGUAGCGGUGGAAUGCGCAGAUAUCAGGAGGAACACCGAUGGCGAAGGCAGAUCUCUGGGCCGUAACUGACGCUGAGGAGCGAAAGCGUGGGGAUCAAACAGG
rnacentral:rRNA from 1 species